ACUCGGUGAAAUUAUAGUACCUGUGAAGAUGCAGGUUACCCGCGACAGGACGGAAAGACCCCGUGGAGCUUUACUGUAGCCUGAUAUUGAAUUUUGGUGCAACUUGUACAGGAUAGGUAGGAGCCAGAGAACCCGGAGCGCCAGCUUCGGGGGAGGCGUCGGUGGGAUACUACCCUGGUUGUAUUGAACUUCUAACCCACAAGCCUUAGCGGCUUGGGAGACAGUGUCAGGCGGGCAGUUUGACUGGGGCGGUCGCCUCCUAAAGAGUAACGGAGGCGCUCAAAGGUUCCCUCAGAAUGGUUGGAAAUCAUUCGCAGAGUGUAA
rnacentral:rRNA from 1 species